rnacentral:tRNA from 1 species
GGCUGGGUGGCGGAAUUGGCAGACGCGGCGGAUUUAAAAUCCGGCGGCCUAAAAAACCAUGAGGGUUCGAAUCCCUCCCCGGCUA